rnacentral:tRNA from 1 species
UGGCUUAGAUGGUAAACCAUCUGCCUGCAAUGCAGGAUACCCAGGUUCGAUCCCUGG